UACUUCCUGGUGCCUCGCCCCAC
rnacentral:miRNA from 8 species